rnacentral:rRNA from 1 species
AUGAAGUUGGAAUCGCUAGUAAUCGCGGAUCAGCAUGCCGCGGUGAAUACGUUCCCGGGCCUUGUACACACCGCCCGUCACACCAUGAGAGUCGGGAACACCCGAAGUCCGUAGCCUAACCGCAAGGAGGGCGCGGCCGAAGGUGGGUUCGAUAAUUGGGGUGAAGUCGUAACAAGGUAUC